rnacentral:rRNA from 1 species
GCUGUUAAGGGUUCGUAGUUGAAUUGAGGACUGUUCCAGCACGCGCACCGUCCAACCCUCUGGGUUCGGGCCAGCACUGGCAGUUCGUGAACAUCAUCAGAAACGCAUUCAUGGGAACGUCCUACCCAACUUACGCAUGCAAUGUAUGCAGGGGGGCGCCCGUGUAUUUUACUGUGACUAAAAAGCGCGACUAAAGCAGUCGUUUCGACUCUGAAUUUGAAAGCAUGGGAUAACGAGCAGCAGCCUACGGGCUUCCGUUAUGGCUUUUGUUGGUAGUAAAUGUCUGUGGGAGACUUGGACUCGUUUGACAGGCGGUUUGGGGUUUUGUCCCCACGCUUCCGGCGUUAGGUGGUCUUCGGGCCCCUGCGUCGGUUACGGUGUCCAGGAAUGAAGGAGGGUUGUUCGGGGGAGAACGUCCUGGGUGUGAGAGGUGAAAUUCUUAGACCAUCCAGAGACGAACUACAGCGAAGGCUUCUCCAAGGAUACCUUCCUCAAUCAAGAACUAAAGUGUGGAGAUCGAAGAUGAUUAGAGCCAUUGUAGUCC